rnacentral:misc_RNA from 1 species
CAGGAUUUUUGUUCAGAAUAUUCAACAAAGUACACAAAGAUCUUCAGGAAAUGAGUAGCGUUCUUAUAUCUAUUUCUAUGAAUGUAGAAGGAAGAAGUUCAUGAGACUAUACCUCCAGGAUCAUGCGUGAUUUUUAUAACAAUCUAAAUCCAUUUCAUUGUCCUCCAGAGCUGCUAUCUUCCACUUGUAUCUCACUUGAGCUCACUCCCAAGUUCUCAUAAUCGAUUGCUCCCCCAGAUUCAGAAAUUUUUGUGGCUUUCUGCAACUCAUCAGUUACAUUUGGUUGUGUUGCUAACUGUUCGUCAGUAAACUGCUCUUUCUGGAUAGUUGGUUUUGGCCUUCGGAUGGCUUCGGCAGCUUCUGGCAAUGCGACAGGUGGUGGCUGAGGAGGAACCCAUGCACGUUGAACUGGUUUCUCAGCAGAGAGACCAUUGGAAGAGCCUACUUUCAACUCAUUAUUGUCGAUCUCAGUAAUAUUAACAUUUCUCUUCUGCCACCAAGGCACUGAAGGGUUAUCGUUCUCGUAAGUCAAACCAUUGUUUUGUACCAAGGAAUUCAAACCAGCAUCAUCUUGAGACUGAGGGAAAAAGGCAGGAUUGUUUUGCGUACCAACCUCCCAAGGCUUGGCUCUAGGAGCUAGGCGAGGAUUUGAUGGCUGUUGAUUUGGGUUGGGAGGUAAAUCGUCUAUGUCUCUAAUAUUAGAUGGCUUUUCUCCUCUCUGGACCAUGGCCAUGAUCUCCAUGUAAGAC